GCGUAAAAACAAUUGGUUGCGUUCGAUUUUCAGGAUUCUUCCCGAGAGAUUCAGCCACUUGGUUUUGACUACGGAUCAGAAGGCUAGGAGUUCGAAUCUCUUCGGGCGCGCCA
rnacentral:tRNA from 1 species